UUCCACCAGGACAUUUAAAUCGUAUUUAUAAUGUGAUAAGGAUUUAUUGUAUAUACCCUUAGAGCUUUUAUAUAAAAUCUGUAUGACAUUUAUGUCUUUUUCAGAAACCUAUAUGUAAAUUACAUUUUUUUGAAGGAUCUGUUGUUGCUAUUGAGUUUGAUUUAGCUUUGAGGGUGGUUGACUUGUUGUAUUUAACAUUUAACCAAAAGCCAGAAUUUCAACCAGCAAUUAAGUAAUGGUUUAUAUGGCAAAGCAAUUUCCCCUUUAUUGAUUUGCUUUAUGACCUGUUUCUAGGCAUGUAUUUUGAUACCACCACUGCCUCCCCUCCAAAGGUGAGAACUGACUAUUCCGUGUGUACCUAGACCAUGUGGAGAAAGGACUGAGACUGAAAACAGAAAACAGACAUUGUCCAUAUAGAGCAGAGUGCCUGACAACAGCUCACUCUAGCAAAGGGCAAUAAAUGCCACACCAGAUGAUCUCUCAUCACAAAACUUUACAUCUGACUUACAUGCCUGGUCUGAUGACUUCUUUUUAUGACUCCUAAAUUGUGGAGGCGAUUCCGAGGCUCUGGCCGUGAAGCCGGGCAUAAUCGGUAGCGGAGCAGGUUUUCUGGAGCACAGACACGCUGCACCGGCCCAGCGGACGCCCCCUGCACGCCGCUCCAAUUCACGCCUUGUUCCAGUGCCCAGCUGGCUUCCGCUGUGCAUCUGGGAGUGCAGCUCAAACUGAGCUCUCCGCCAGCCCCCCACCCACGCAGGUCGCUGUCCUGCCAGGGCAAGUCCCCAUCCUCGCAGCAGCCCCGAGAAUCACCCCCCUUCCCUGAGAGGGACCCGGCGGGUACUUAUCUCGGACCUCGGGG